UACGUAGGCAGCGAGCGUUGUUCGGAGUUACUGGGCGUAAAGGGUGUGUAGGCGGUUGUUUAAGUUUGGUGUGAAAUCUCCCCGGCUCAACUGGGAGGGUGCGCCGAAUACUGAAUGACUUGGAGUGCGGGAGAGGAGAGUGGAAUUCCUGGUGUAGCGGUGAAAUGCGUAGAUAUCAGGAGGAACACCGGUGGUGUAGACGGCUCUCUGGACCGUAACUGACGCUGAGACACGAAAGCGUGGGUAGCAAACAGG
rnacentral:rRNA from 1 species